AAACAGAUGUAACGGGUUGGAUCACAUAAACCCCCUUGGGAAUUGCCACCUGAUGUGCUGAGACUACCUCUAAGCCCAUUUUCCAUGGCAGCUUGGGACUUCAGUACCUUGCCUGGUUAGAACUAGACAUGCUU